UUCCCCCCUCCUCUUUCUCCUUCUCUCAGCCCGCCCAUUAAGCUCUCCUUCCCCUUAGCUUAGAUCUGUCUGUGUAUUGGCUCAGGAGCACUGUCACUCACUGUCAGCUUGCCGCCUCCACCUCCUGGUCCCUGCUCAGGUGUCAGACACCCUGUAGGCCUGCUUUGGAGAAGGAGAAUGGCCAGGGUGGGGUGGGUCGGAGCGGAAAGGCAGAGGAGAGAGAAGGCCUCCCCACCCCGGUGCAAACGUACACUCUUCUCUACUUUUGCUACUGUGCUUUCCCAGUUUGGUUGAGUCGCAGUGAGAGCAGCUAAGUGCAGAGUAUCUACAAUGUUAUAGGACUUGGUGAAACCAGAAAAAAUUCAUCACCCUAUGAUGGAGGACCUUGCCAUAUUAACAAGCAAAUUAUUCUUCAACUUGGACUCAAUAUUGUAUUUCAUCCAUGAUAAUGGUGAAUGCCACUGAAAAGUAAACAUCCUCCUUUUUCA